rnacentral:tRNA from 1 species
GGGCUGGUAGCUCAACCGGGAGAGCGCCUGUUUUGCACGCAGGAGGUUAGGGGUUCGAUCCCCCUCUGGUCCACCA